GUUGGACAAUGGGGGAAACCCUGAUCCAGCCAUCGCGCGUGCUUGAUGAAGGCCUUCGUGUUGUAAAGUACUUUUGGCAGCGAAGAAAAUGCAUCCCCUCAUACGGCAUGCUGCGGACGGUCUCUGCAGAAUAAGCACCGUCUAACUACUUGCCAGCAGCCGCGGUAAUACGUAGGGUGCAAGCGUUAAUCGGAAUUACUGGGCGUAAAGCGUGUGUAGGCGGUUCGGAAAGAAAGAUGCGAAAUCCCAGGGCUCAACCUUGGAACUGCAUUUUUAACUGCCGAGCUAGAGUAUGUCAGAGGGGGGUAGAAUUCCACGUGUAGCAGUGAAAUGCGUAGAUAUGUGGAGGAAUACCGAUGGCGAAGGCAGCCCCCUGGGAUAAUACUGACGCUCAGACACGAAAGCGUGGGGAGCAAACA
rnacentral:rRNA from 1 species